rnacentral:rRNA from 1 species
AACGAACGCUGGCGGCAGGGCCUAACACAUGCAAGUCGAGCGCCCCGCAAGGGGAGCGGCGGACGGGUGAGUAACGCGUGGGAACGUACCCUUUGCUACGGAAUAGCCUCGGGAAACUGGGAGUAAUACCGUAUGUGCCCUUCGGGGGAAAGAUUUAUCGGCAAAGGAUCGGCCCGCGUUGGAUUAGGUAGUUGGUGGGGUAAUGGCCUACCAAGCCGACGAUCCAUAGCUGGUUUGAGAGGAUGAUCAGCCACACUGGGACUGAGACACGGCCCAGACUCCUACGGGAGGCAGCAGUGGGGAAUCUUAGACAAUGGGCGCAAGCCUGAUCUAGCCAUGCCGCGUGAGCGAUGAAGGCCUUAGGGUUGUAAAGCUCUUUCAGGUGGGGAAGAUAAUGACUGUACCCACAGAAGAAGCCCCGGCUAACUCCGUG